rnacentral:rRNA from 1 species
UACGUAGGGCGCAAGCGUUGUCCGGAAUUAUUGGGCGUAAAGAGCUCGUAGGCGGUUUGUCGCGUCUGCUGUGAAAACCUGAGGCUCAACCUCGGGCUUGCAGUGGGUACGGGCAGACUAGAGUGCGGCAGGGGAGACUGGAAUUCCUGGUGUAGCGGUGGAAUGCGCAGAUAUCAGGAGGAACACCGGUGGCGAAGGCGGGUCUCUGGGCCGUUACUGACGCUGAGGAGCGAAAGCGUGGGGAGCGAACAGG